rnacentral:rRNA from 1 species
GACGAACGCUGGCGGCGUGCUUAACACAUGCAAGUCGAACGGAAAGGCCCUGCUUUUGUGGGGUGCUCGAGCGGCGAACGGGUGAGUAACACGUGAGUAACCUGCCCUUGACUUUGGGAUAACUUCAGGAAACUGGGGCUAAUACCGGAUAGGAGCUCCUGCUGCAUGGUGGGGGUUGGAAAGUUUCGGCGGUUGGGGAUGGACUCGCGGCUUAUCAGCUUGUUGGUGGGGUAGUGGCUUACCUAGGCUUUGACGGGUAGCCGGCCUGAGAGGGUGACCGGCCACAUUGGGACUGAGAUACGGCCCAGACUCCUACGGGAGGCAGCAGGGGGGAAUAUUGCACAAUGAGCGGAAGCCUGAUGCAGCAACGCCGCGUGCGGGAUGACGGCCUUCGGGUUGUAAACCGCUUUCGCCUGUGACGAAGCGUGAGUGACGGUAAUGGGUAAAGAAGCACCGGCUAACUACGUG